AGGUUAAGUUAUGAAGGGCGCACGGUGGAUGCCUUGGCACUAGGAGCCGAUGAAGGACGGGACUAACACCGAUAUGCUUCGGGGAGCUGUAAGUAAGCUUUGAUCCGGAGAUUUCCGAAUGGGGGAACCCAUCAUCCGUAAUGGGAUGAUAUCUUUACCUGAAUACAUAGGGUAUUGAAGGCAGACCCGGGGAACUGAAACAUCUAAGUACCCGGAGGAAGAGAAAGCAAACGCGAUUCCCUGAGUAGCGGCGAGCGAAACGGGAUUAGCCCAAACCAAGAGGCUUGCCUCUUGGGGUUGUAGGACACUCUAUACGGAGUUACAAAGGAACGAGGUAAACGAACAAGUCUGGAAAGGCUGGUCAAAGAAGGUAACAACCCUGUAGUUGAAACCUUGUUCCCUCUUGAGUGUAUCCUGAGUACGGCGGGACACGAGAAAUCCCGUCGGAAGCAGGGAGGACCAUCUCCCAAGGCUAAAUACUCCCUAGUGACCGAUAGUGAACCAGUACCGUGAGGGAAAGGUGAAAAGCACCCCGGAAGGGGAGUGAAAGAGAUCCUGAAACCGUGUGCCUACAAGUAGUUAGAGCCCUUUAACGGGUGAUAGCGUGCCUUUUGUAGAAUGAACCGGCGAGUUACGAUUGCAUGCGAGGUUAAGUUGAAGAGACGGAGCCGUAGCGAAAGCGAGUCUGAAUAGGGCGCAUUAGUAUGUAGUCGUAGACCCGAAACCAGGUGAUCUACCCAUGUCCAGGUUGAAGUUCAGGUAACACUGAAUGGAGGACCGAACCCACGCACGUUGAAAAGUGCGGGGAUGAGGUGUGGGUAGCGGAGAAAUUCCAAUCGAACUUGGAGAUAGCUGGUUCUCUCCGAAAUAGCUUUAGGGCUAGCCUCACGAAUAACGAGUCUUGGAGGUAGAGCACUGUUUGGACUAGGGGCCCUCAUCGGGUUACCGAAUUCAGACAAACUCCGAAUGCCAAGUACUUAAGCGUGGGAGUCAGACUGCGAGUGAUAAGAUCCGUAGUCAAAAGGGAAACAGCCCAGACCACCAGCUAAGGUCCCAAAGUAUACGUUAAGUGGAAAAGGAUGUGGGGUUGCUUAGACAACCAGGAUGUUGGCUUAGAAGCAGCCACCAUUUAAAGAGUGCGUAAUAGCUCACUGGUCGAGUGACCCCGCGCCGAAAAUGUACCGGGGCUAAACGUAUCACCGAAGCUGUGGAUGGAUAUCUACGAUAUCCGUGGUAGGAGAGCGUUCUAAGGGCGUUGAAGCUAGACCGGAAGGACUGGUGGAGCGCUUAGAAGUGAGAAUGCCGGUAUGAGUAGCGAAAGAUGGGUGAGAAUCCCAUCCACCGUAUGCCUAAGGUUUCCUGAGGAAGGCUCGUCCGCUCAGGGUUAGUCGGGACCUAAGCCGAGGCCGAAAGGCGUAGGCGAUGGACAACAGGUUGAUAUUCCUGUACCACCUCGUUUUUGUUUGAGCGAUGGGGGGACGCAGGAGGAUAGGGUAAGCGCACUGCUGGAUAUGUGCGUCUAAGCAGUUAGGCUGGUAAGCAGGAAAAUCCGCUUACCGUGAAGGCUGAGCUGUGAUAGCGAGGGAAAUAUAGUACCGAAGUUCCUGAUUCCACACUGCCAAGAAAAGCCUCUAGUGAGAAAACAGGUGCCCGUACCGCAAACCGACACAGGUAGGCGAGGAGAGAAUCCUAAGGUGUGCGAGAGAACUCUCGUUAAGGAACUCGGCAAAAUGACCCCGUAACUUCGGGAGAAGGGGUGCUUUUUAGGGUGAAUAGCCUUGAAAAGCCGCAGUGAAUAGGCCCAGGCGACUGUUUAGCAAAAACACAGGUCUCUGCGAAGCCGCAAGGCGAAGUAUAGGGGCUGACGCCUGCCCGGUGCUGGAAGGUUAAGAGGAGGGGUUAGCGCAAGCGAAGCUCUGAAUUGAAGCCCCAGUAAACGGCGGCCGUAACUAUAACGGUCCUAAGGUAGCGAAAUUCCUUGUCGGGUAAGUUCCGACCCGCACGAAAGGCGUAACGAUCUGGGCACUGUCUCAACGAGAGACUCGGUGAAAUUAUAGUACCUGUGAAGAUGCAGGUUACCCGCGACAGGACGGAAAGACCCCGUGGAGCUUUACUGUAGCCUGAUAUUGAAUUUUGGUACAGCUUGUACAGGAUAGGUAGGAGCCUGAGAAGCCGGAGCGCUAGCUUCGGUGGAGGCGUCGGUGGGAUACUACUCUGGCUGUAUUGAAAUUCUAACCCGCACCUCU
rnacentral:rRNA from 1 species